UACAGAGGGGGCAAGCGUUGUUCGGAAUUACUGGGCGUAAAGGGCGCGUAGGCGGCCUGUUAAGUCGAACGUGAAAUCCCCGGGCUUAACCCGGGAACUGCGUCCGAUACUGGCAGGCUUGAAUCCGGGAGAGGGAUGUGGAAUUCCAGGUGUAGCGGUGAAAUGCGUAGAUAUCUGGAGGAACACCAGUGGCGAAAGCGGCAUCCUGGACCGACACUGACGCUGAGGAGCGAAAGCCAGGGGAGCAAACGGG
rnacentral:rRNA from 1 species